rnacentral:rRNA from 1 species
AUCCCAUCGCGGUGCUCUUCAUCGAGUGUCGAGGUGGGCCGGUACGUUUACUUUGAACAAAUUAGAGUGCUUAAAGCAGGCUAUCUUCGCCUGAAUACUGUGUGCAUGGAAUAAUGGAAUAGGACCUCGGUUCUAUUUUGUUGGUUUUCGGAACCCCGAGGUAAUGAUUAAUAGGGACAGAUGGGGGCAUUCGUAUUGCGACGUUAGAGGUGAAAUUCUUGGAUCGUCGCAAGACGGACAGAAGCGAAAGCAUUUGCCAAAAAUGUUUUCAUUAAUCAAGAACGAAAGUUAGAGGUUCGAAGGCGAUCAGAUACCGCCCUAGUUCUAACCAUAAACGAUGCCAGCUAGCGAUCCGCCGAAGUUCCUCCGAUGACUCGGCGGGCAGCUUCCGGGAAACCAAAGCUUUUGGGUUCCGGGGGAAGUAUGGUUGCAAAGCUGAAACUUAAAGGAAUUGACGGAAGGGCACCACCAGGAGUGGAGCCUGCGGCUUAAUUUGACUCAACACGGGAAACCUCACCAGGCCCGGACACCGGAAGGAUUGACAGAUUGAUAGCUCUUUCUUGAUUCGGUGGGUGGUGGUGCAUGGCCGUUCUUAGUUGG